rnacentral:rRNA from 1 species
AUUGAACGCUGGCGGCAGGCCUAACACAUGCAAGUCGAGCGGAUGAAGGGAGCUUGCUCCUGGAUUCAGCGGCGGACGGGUGAGUAAUGCCUAGGAAUCUGCCUGGUAGUGGGGGAUAACGUCCGGAAACGGGCGCUAAUACCGCAUACGUCCUGAGGGAGAAAGUGGGGGAUCUUCGGACCUCACGCUAUCAGAUGAGCCUAGGUCGGAUUAGCUAGUUGGUGGGGUAAAGGCCUACCAAGGCGACGAUCCGUAACUGGUCUGAGAGGAUGAUCAGUCACACUGGAAUUGAAACACGGUCCAGCCUCCUACGGGAGGCAGCAGGGGGGAAUUUUGGACAAUGGGCGAAAGCCUGAUCCAGCCAUGCCGCGGGUGGAAAGAAGGUUUUCGGAUUGUAAAGCACUUUAAGUUGGGAGGAAGGGCAGUAAGUUAAUACCUUGCUGUUUUGACGUUACCAACAGAAUAAGCACCGGCUAACUUCGG